rnacentral:rRNA from 1 species
UACGAAGGGGGCUAGCGUUGCUCGGAAUCACUGGGCGUAAAGGGCGCGUAGGCGGGUCUUAAGUCAGGGGUGAAAUCCUGGAGCUCAACUCCAGAACUGCCUUUGAUACUGGCGAUCUUGAGUCCGGGAGAGGUGAGUGGAACUGCGAGUGUAGAGGUGAAAUUCGUAGAUAUUCGCAAGAACACCAGUGGCGAAGGCGGCUCACUGGCCCGGUACUGACGCUGAGGUGCGAAAACGUGGGGAGCAAACAGG